rnacentral:rRNA from 1 species
GUGCAGCAGUCGCGAAAACUCCGCAAUACGCGAAAGCGUGACGGGGCUACCCCGAGUGUCGUCCGCUGAGGACGACUUUUCCACGCUGUAAGGAGGCGUGGGAAUAAGGAGAGGGCAAGUCUGGUGUCAGCCGCCGCGGUAAUACCAGCUCUCCGAGUGGUAGGGACGAUUAUUGGGCUUAAAGCGUCCGUAGCCGGCUCAGCAAGUCUCCCGUUAAAUCCAACGAUUCAAUCGUUGGACUGCGGGAGAUACUGUUGAGCUAGGAGGCGGGAGAGGCCGACGGUAUUCCCGGAGUAGGGGUGAAAUCUUAUAAUUCCGGGAGGACCACCAGUGGCGAAGGCGUCACGCUAGAACGGAUCCGACGGUCAGGGACGAAGCCCAGGGGCGCAAACGGGAUUAGAUACCCCGGUAGUCC